UUACGGCUAUAUCAUUUUGAAACACCGGUUCCCGUAUGACUACUGAAGUUAAGCAACGUCGAGCCUGGAUUAACUCGAUGGGUGAGCACGUGGGAAUAACACC